ensembl:lncRNA
CCUCCCCAUAAAACUCGCAGGGGUCCCAGUUUGCGAGGAGAAAGAAAACCCCAUUAACCCUUUGCUCCCUCCAAUACAGUGGGAAUGGAGAAAAGAGCUGUGAGGAAGGGGAUGGUGUGUGCACAUCCAGAUUUGGGGCACGUGCGAAAGAGCGUGGCGAGGUGGUGGUGCCCAAAUUGUGCCAUGGGGAGAGGCAAGCCAUAGCCUGGCUCAGUGCUCCUCUUGCUGCCUUUCUUGCCCUAUCCACCUCCAAAAUGCGAGCCCUCUGGGUAGCGCCUGGCAGCUGUUUAACAGCACGCAGCGACGCUGCCCUGCAGUUUAGGACAGGAAAUGAAGGCGGCUGUAUCUGCGGGGGGAGUGAGGCCAGCAGACAGCAAUUACCUGUGCGGGAGCUUGGCCAGAGCUCUGCUCCUCCAAGAGCUGCCGUGGGGCGGGACGCUGAUGGCUGGGGUGCAGGUGCUGUGGGGCUGUGCCCCAUAUGUGGCUGGUGUGGUGGGCAGCAGGAAAAGCUUGUGCACAAAUGGGAAAUACUGUUGAUUGUUUUGCUUUGUUUUUGUUUAAACUUAAGUGCUCUUUUGGCCUGUGAUGGAUCAGAAAAUGGACUUGGCUGUCUCUGUGUGCACUAGAAGUACAACAUAUCGGUGAAGAAGGCAUCUUUGCCCAGCUUGACGACCUGGUGUUGCUUUGCUCUUUGGGAGAUGUAGGAUGUCCCUGAACAGCCGCACAGGGCUUGUCCCAGCACCCCACAAGCAAUCCUGCUCAUCUCAACACUCGCCAAGGUGGAAGAAAUCUGGUUUCCCACUAGGUGGUGGAGGAGAGCUUGACUGAAAACCCUCCUGCUUCCCAUAGCCGAGCACAAGGGAAGCGGGGCUUGCAUAUAAUUAAACCCGGCUGUUUUAUCCCAGAUUCCAGUAGAGCCCAAUCCACCACGGGUGCUGGUGCAGGAGCCAGAGGGAAAGCAGUGGGGAGGUCCUGGUUGCCACUGGCUCCACUGCAAAGGCACAGCGUUUUUGUCACCUGUGGGUGUUUUAUGACACUUUAACGGAUGGUGUUUGGAAAUACGGUCAAACUCAGAUGCACUGGCAGCUCCCUUAAUCCAAGGUAGGACAUGGACAGCAUGAAUGAAGAGAGGAGGAGGCUGACAGCAAGAGAUUUGCCACCUCAGGCAGGUGAUGUUUCCCACUGAGACCUCCAGUGCUUCCUGGGAGAGGAGAAAAGUGGCACAGACCUGGAUCUAGAGGCAGGCCAUGGAUGGAUGUGCGCCAGGGUGAAGCAGAGCUCCAAAGGAGUGUGAUACAGAGAUGGAUUACGCAGUCUCAAGCAGGGUGAGUGCUCUGUGUUGGCCUGGGGGUUUGGGGCCAAAAACUCUUCCCAUUUUUUCUUUCUUAGAAAGCAAGGAGUUUCCCAGACAGUUGUGACAUCAAGUGUCCGUGUUGGUGGGAAGGGAGGAGGAUGAGACUCUACAACAUUGUGAGUGCUACUGGACCCCCCAAAAGGCUGAGAGUUUGGAAAGCAUCUGCACAGUCAGUUCUUUCCCUGAACUAUCUGUGCUGGAGGCUCGUGAAUCUUGGAAGGAAAGACCUUCUCAUGAGAUUUGUGGUGUGUCCAGUCCCAGCCAGAAAUACCACAAGAAAAGCCUCUCUUGGGGAGAUCCCAGCUCUGACCAGGAAAUACAGAGUGAUGAGAGAGCAAGAAAAAUCCAGACGUGGCCCCUAUCUGCUUUACUGGAUUCUGGGAAACCAAGUUCUCCUUUGUGGAGUACAGUUUUGUCAGGCAUCUUUCUCAAGCAUAUCUCGCAUUCACGUUUGCCAGCUAUAAUUAAGUCAGACUCACAUAUCAAAGCUGUGUGUGUGUGUCUGCAUGUAUGAAGAAAGCUGCCAGCGGAUCACUUUUGGUUAUUUUUCUGCUCACAGAUGAGGAACUGAACUUACUCCCACAUUCAGUUAGAGCCCUGGCCCAGACAGCUGCCUUGGGAGAAGCACUGGCUUUUCUCCUGGUGGGCAAGUGUUGCAUUUCUGAAUGACUUUAACAAGAAGUGCUUAAGUGCUGGAGUUUUGCAAAUUGAAGCAAUUGCUUCACAAACAAGCUGGUUCUUGCCUUUGCUUUCUUGCACAGUUUUCCUUGUAGUGUUACCUUGCUUGCUGUCCCAGGUCAGCCUGGGAAGCACAUGAAUCAGAUUAGAAGCUUCCUGCUAAGAGGGGCUGGAUGGUGUGAGCAACAGCUACAGAGGGCGUUGGAGAUGUUUGCUGAAUUUUAGAGGUGGCAGACUCAGGCUCUGGAGGGGCGUUUGCAGGGAAGGAAGACAUCCUGAGUUUGCCAGAUAAAUGCAAGGCAGAGGAGGGGGUUUGGAGAUGCUUUGUUGCACCAAAUGACACUGAUGCUCCUCCUGCAGCUCUGCUCUUCUCAUUAAAUGGCUGUGAAGCCCAUGCUCUUAAACCACCAGGGAGCAGGAGGACAUCACAUGGUUGCCCAUGAGUGCCCAAGCUGCUUCCCAUGGCUAUGCAGUGUUGGCAAGGAUUUUGGUGUCAGCUCUCCAAGGAGAUCCACAGCAAACUCCUGACCUGGAGCAUCUCAGCAGAUUUCCCAAUGAGUACAGGAGAUACUGGGUGAGGCCCUGCCAAAGCAAAGUGACUGACAAAGUGACCUAGCUGAUGUGGCUUGUGGUCACGAGCAACAAAUUCAGCAGUGAUAUUCCUGGGUAUGGAGCUCAGGUAUUGCAUCUGUACCAAGGAGGCACAAGGGGCCGUUGAGCUGUAGCUCUCUAACUCCUCUGCAAGGCUCAGGAGAUGUGGGAUGCUUUGCUGUUGGCUUGAUAGGAGGAAAUGCUGCUUUCCUGUGAGUGAGUGAAGUUAACCCAAGACAUAGUUUUCAGCACAGAAACACCUUUCCAGCUCUGUUUCAUGGAGAAGAGACCCAACAGCUCCCUGCGAGCUGACCUGAAGCUGCAGGAAUAUUCUGAGGUGGAGUCACGACUAUUAAAGCAAAAACAAGAUGAUGCAAGGACGCAGCUCACUUGGUGUCAGCCUUUCCUGCGGAAACACAAAGAGGGUUUGUUGAUGCCACGUGUAGGCUGCCUCAGGUCGAGUCAUAUUUCUUUCUUUAUGGAGAUGAAGUUAGUCUUUAAGGCACCAGCUCAAAAUGGCCUUUCUUUCAUUACAAAGUUAUUUAGUUACGGGUAGGUAACUCUAAAUGACAUUUCUACAUCUUGCACUUUAUUAGUUGAUCCUAGCUGCUAAAUUACACAGAGUGAGCAGCAGAGUACAGCGGGGGAGUUGAGUGUGUUUUGGCUAAUUUUGGAUGGGGUCCAACCUUCUGGAGUUGGAAAUUUGCCUCCGAGAUGAUGAGCUUGUGCACCUCCCUCGGGGAGGGUUGUGAAGUCAGAAAGCAAAAAGGACUGGUGAAGAAUUAAAAACAAAAGUGUAAACACUGGGCUAUUUCCCUGCUCCCCGGAGAGCUCUGUGAGCACUGAGCUGUGUACUGUUCAGGAGAGGAAAAGCCAGCUCAGCGUCACUGACUUACUCAGAGGGUGAUGAGGCAGUGGUGCCAGCUACCCAGAAAGCUGUGAGUGCCCCCUCCCUGGAGGUGCUCAAGGCCAGGUGGGGUGAGGCCCUGGGCAGCCUGAGCUGGUGGGUGGCAGCCAGCCUACAGCAGGGGGUUGGGACCAGGUGGGCUUUAAGGUCCUCUCCAACCUAAGCCUUUCCAUGAUUCCAUGACUUGAGCUGGUGCUGGAGAUGAUGCUGGCAAGGGAACAGAUGACCACAAAGCCACCCACCCUUCCCACCUUACUUUGCUUUAAUCUGUGGAGAAGAUGCACUCUAACCUGCAGCACGAAGAUUUUUUUUUCCCCCAGCUCCAAAUGUACUAAUUUGGAGGAAAGCCUGAGUCCUCCUGAAGCUGGCAGGACUCCUUGUCAACAUGCACAAAACCCCAGAGCAGAUGGGCACAGAUUUUGGCUAAGCACAGCAGCAGUUGUUGAGUAUUACAGUCUGUCAUCUCAUCCAGGAGCAUCCCAGCAGCUGCCUUUGCUUCUCCCUUUACUGAGAGGUGUCAGUGUGCCUCUCCUUGCACCCAGCAUCGCACUGCUGCCACUGAAGUUUUGAUUUCUAUGGCCAAGAAUGUUUUCUAUUGCAAUCUCAGCUCUUGCUUUUAAAAGCCAUACAGAGAAAUGACAUACAUUCAAGUGUAGACAUGUUUCUUCAACAGCUCAUGCUUGCCCUUCCAUAACUUUCAUGUCCUAAGGAUCAUGGAAAACCUGGUAGUACAUUACUUUCAGUAGGCUGCCAGAAAGAGAGUUCAUUUAGUUUGAUGACAGAUUAAUACUGAUUCACAAAUUAAUUUUGUCUCUUUGUAUAUCAAGGGUGUCCACAACUUAUUUAAUUUGUAAUAAAUAUAAUUAUAGAAAUGAAUGAGCUAUCAAGAUUUUUAAAGUAUGAUCCAUCAAUGUUGGCAUGACUUGUAAUCCUGGUCAUUAUAAAUAAAAUGGGCCUUUUUCAAGAUGGAAUGCAAUUUUCCCUGUAGUUUGUC